UUUUUUUUUUGUAUUGAGGGCCAACUGCGUUCGAAAGUCUGUGGGAGCGCGCGGCUUCCUCCUGACACACCCGUCGGGAGCUCCGCCCACCCCCCCACCGGAUGAGUCCUGCAAAAGAGGGGAGGAAAGGAGGCUGUUGAUUGGAGAAACUGCGGGGUGAGGGGGCGUGGCGAGCGUUGGUGGGCGGAGCGGGGCAUGCUCGGCCCCGCCCCCAACAGAAGAGGUUAGGGGCAGGCGUCUGCCGAUUGGAGAAGCGUCGGGGACGGUCGCUGCUGGUCAGGGAGGGCGCCACAUCGCCCUACCCCGCCCUCCCGCCCGCGGCCCGCUGUGACUGUUGGGCCGGAGUUCCCGCGCGGAGCCUGUUUAAAGGGCCGCGGCCGGGACCGCCCUCUCCUGAGCUAGGGGCCCGCAAAGCACGGUAUUUUUGUUUUUGAGAUGAUUCUCAACAUAGCCCUGGAUGUUGUGAAGCUCACUUCGUAGACCAGGCUGGCCUGGAACUCAGAGUCCCCUGCCCCUCGGCUGCUAGGACUAAGGCAUGCGCCACCACGCCUGCCUAAGGGCAGGGUUGUUAAUGGACUCCCGUGACCAGCCUGGCUAAGGAUGAGUCCCUGCCGCGUUCCCUGACGCCUGGGGCGGGGGCUUGCUGCCGUGCUCCGCACCGCGGUGGGGUGCACCAACGACCAUGCGCUCAGGAGGAGGCGUCGGCUCGCUCCGUUCCUGUCUGUGCACCCCACCCCUGGACAGCGGCAAAACCCAGGCCAGCCUCCUCGUGGUUCCGGCUCGCUCAGUCUGAUGCUGGUAGCGGCUCAAAGACUUGAAUCGAUGAAUAAAUGAAGUGGUUAAAGGACGGAACUGGUAACCGGGGCUCUCAUUUGCUGUAUUUUCCAGACAGCCUAAUCCUAGCUGCGGUUCAGUGAAGAUUUUCAUAUUGGAUGACUAUCCAGGGGUCAAUCGAUAAAAAUGGUAACUCCAUCAUGAGAGCAAACAUAAACCUCUUAAUACAAAGCUAUGCCUAAUGUUUUAGAGGAAAUUGACUGCCCAAGUUAACAAAUCAAAGCAGCCAGUCGUGUGAGUCUUAUGUUUUAUUAAGUGGAGAAAUAAUUUUUGUUUAAACAAAAUAUAUCUGGCAAGACACACAAAUCUGACUUCAUAGAAAGUAACGGGAACAUAAGUGAAAAUCUUUCAAGAGGAUACACUGAAUAAUUUGUGUCUGUCAAGUGAGAAGUGAAACCUAAUGAUGUAUAAUAACUCUGAAGACACACUAAAACAUCCGUCUCAGUCUGGGCAGUGGCAGCACAUCCCUUUCGUCCCAGCACUCAGGAGGCAGAGUCAUCCCAGGGGAUCCCUAACCAAGCUGACUAGGGAGACUGGCACCAUCGGCAAGCUCCGGGUUUGAUUGAGAUGCCCUACUACAAUCAAUAAGAUGGGAGAGGAAUUGAGAAUAAUUCCUGACAUCAACCUUGGACCUCCACAUGUGUAGUGAGAGAUUCACCCUGCCUCACCUGUGGUGCUGACCACACCUGUUUGGGCAUGAUCACAGGUGAGCAAGUGGUAUUUGGUCUGGGAUCCUGGACAGGUUUGCUCUCUCUUGGUUCCGGUCAGGUCAUAGUGAGCAGCCUGGGUGUGGCUCCUCGGAGCAGGAACUUGCGGAUCAUCAGUUUCUUAUGUAACUGACUUCUCCCCAAAUAAAUUUAACCUAUAUUUAGCCAA